rnacentral:rRNA from 1 species
GAUGAACGCUAGCGGCAGGCUUAACACAUGCAAGUCGAGGGGUAUAGGGAGCUUGCUUCCUAGAGACCGGCGCACGGGUGCGUAACGCGUAUGCAAUCUACCUUUUGCAGAGGGAUAGCCCAGAGAAAUUUGGAUUAAUACCUCAUAGUAUGUGAGAAUGGCAUCAUUUUCACAUUAAAGUCACAACGGCAAAAGAUGAGCAUGCGUCCCAUUAGCUUGUUGGUAAGGUAACGGCUUACCAAGGCAACGAUGGGUAGGGGGUCCUGAGAGGGAGAUCCCCCACACUGGUACUGAGACACGGACCAGACUUCCUACGGGAGGGCAGCAGUGAGGAAUAUUGGA